rfam:Clostridium disporicum strain 2789STDY5834856 genome assembly, contig: SCcontig000001
GAGUCUACUAAAUCUGGGCUAAUAAAGUGAACGUGAGUAUCAAUUCCUCCAGCAGUUAAGAUACAUCCUUCCCCUGCUAAAGCUUCAGUACUAACUCCUACUAUGAAAUCUACAUUAUCCAUUCCAUCAGGAUUUCCACCUUUACCUAUUGCAACGAUUUUUCCAUCUUUAAUACCGAUAUCAGCUUUAUAUACUCCUGUAUAAUCUAAAACAGUAGCUCCUGUGAUUAUUAAGUCAACAACCUUUGGAUUUUUUCUUGUUUCUAUUGAGUUUUGACCCAUACCAUCUC